rnacentral:sRNA from 1 species
ACGAGGAGGUCCCCAAAUGAUGCGAAGCAUCAUUUUUGCAUGGGACCGACGAACUGCCCUCGAACAAAGUGAGGGGCAACACCAUAA